UGGGGAAUCUUGGACAAUGGGGGCAACCCUGAUCCAGCCAUGCCGCGUGAGUGAUGAAGGCCUUAGGGUCGUAAAGCUCUUUCGCCUGUGAAGAUAAUGACGGUAGCAGGUAAAGAAACCCCGGCUAACUCCGUGCCAGCAGCCGCGGUAAUACGGAGGGGGUUAGCGUUGUUCGGAAUUACUGGGCGUAAAGCGCACGUAGGCGGACCAGAAAGUUGGGGGUGAAAUCCCGGGGGCUCAACCCCGGAACUGCCUCCAAAACUAUUGGUCUAGAGUUCGAGAGAGGUGAGUGGAAUUCCAAGUGUAGAGGUGAAAUUCGUAGAUAUUUGGAGGAACACCAGUGGCGAAGGCGGCUCACUGGCUCGAUACUGACGCUGAGGUGCGAAAGUGUGGGGAGCAAACAGGAUUAGAUACCCUGGUAGUCCACGCCGUAAAACGAUGGAUACUAGGUGUUGGGUAGCAUGCUAUUCGGUGACACACCUAACGGAUUAAGCAUUCCGCCUGGGGAGUACGG
rnacentral:rRNA from 1 species